UUAAGCGACUAAGCGUACACGGUGGAUGCCCUGGCAGUCAGAGGCGAUGAAGGACGUGCUAAUCUGCGAUAAGCGUCGGUGAGGUGAUAUGAACCGUUAUAACCGGCGAUUUCCGAAUGGGGAAACCCAGUGUGUUUCGACACACUAUCAUUAACUGAAUCCAUAGGUUAAUGAGGCGAACCGGGGGAACUGAAACAUCUAAGUACCCCGAGGAAAAGAAAUCAACCGAGAUUCCCCCAGUAGCGGCGAGCGAACGGGGAGGAGCCCAGAGCCUGAAUCAGUGUGUGUGUUAGUGGAAGCGUCUGGAAAGGCGUGCGAUACAGGGUGACAGCCCCGUACACAAAAAUGCACAUAUUGUGAGCUCGAUGAGUAGGACGGGACACGUGGUAUCCUGUCUGAAUAUGGGGGGACCAUCCUCCAAGGCUAAAUACUCCUGACUGACCGAUAGUGAACCAGUACCGUGAGGGAAAGGCGAAAAGAACCCCGGCGAGGGGAGUGAAAAAGAACCUGAAACCGUGUACGUACAAGCAGUGGGAGCCUCUUAAUGGGGUGACUGCGUACCUUUUGUAUAAUGGGUCAGCGACUUAUAUUCUGUAGCAAGGUUAACCGAAUAGGGGAGCCGAAGGGAAACCGAGUCUUAACUGGGCGUUAAGUUGCAGGGUAUAGACCCGAAACCCGGUGAUCUAGCCAUGGGCAGGUUGAAGGUUGGGUAACACUAACUGGAGGACCGAACCGACUAAUGUUGAAAAAUUAGCGGAUGACUUGUGGCUGGGGGUGAAAGGCCAAUCAAACCGGGAGAUAGCUGGUUCUCCCCGAAAGCUAUUUAGGUAGCGCCUCGUGAAUUCAUCUCCGGGGGUAGAGCACUGUUUCGGCAAGGGGGUCAUCCCGACUUACCAACCCGAUGCAAACUGCGAAUACCGGAGAAUGUUAUCACGGGAGACACACGGCGGGUGCUAACGUCCGUCGUGAAGAGGGAAACAACCCAGACCGCCAGCUAAGGUCCCAAAGUCAUGGUUAAGUGGGAAACGAUGUGGGAAGGCCCAGACAGCCAGGAUGUUGGCUUAGAAGCAGCCAUCAUUUAAAGAAAGCGUAAUAGCUCACUGGUCGAGUCGGCCUGCGCGGAAGAUGUAACGGGGCUAAACCAUGCACCGAAGCUGCGGCAGCGACACUAUGUGUUGUUGGGUAGGGGAGCGUUCUGUAAGCCUGUGAAGGUGGCCUGUGAGGGUUGCUGGAGGUAUCAGAAGUGCGAAUGCUGACAUAAGUAACGAUAAAGCGGGUGAAAAGCCCGCUCGCCGGAAGACCAAGGGUUCCUGUCCAACGUUAAUCGGGGCAGGGUGAGUCGACCCCUAAGGCGAGGCCGAAAGGCGUAGUCGAUGGGAAACAGGUUAAUAUUCCUGUACUUGGUGUUACUGCGAAGGGGGGACGGAGAAGGCUAUGUUGGCCGGGCGACGGUUGUCCCGGUUUAAGCGUGUAGGCUGGUUUUCCAGGCAAAUCCGGAAAACCAAGGCUGAGGCGUGAUGACGAGGCACUACGGUGCUGAAGCGACAAAUGCCCUGCUUCCAGGAAAAGCCUCUAAGCAUCAGGUAACAUCAAAUCGUACCCCAAACCGACACAGGUGGUCAGGUAGAGAAUACCAAGGCGCUUGAGAGAACUCGGGUGAAGGAACUAGGCAAAAUGGUGCCGUAACUUCGGGAGAAGGCACGCUGAUAUGUAGGUGAAGCGACUUGCUCGUGGAGCUGAAAUCAGUCGAAGAUACCAGCUGGCUGCAACUGUUUAUUAAAAACACAGCACUGUGCAAACACGAAAGUGGACGUAUACGGUGUGACGCCUGCCCGGUGCCGGAAGGUUAAUUGAUGGGGUUAGCGGCAACGCGAAGCUCUUGAUCGAAGCCCCGGUAAACGGCGGCCGUAACUAUAACGGUCCUAAGGUAGCGAAAUUCCUUGUCGGGUAAGUUCCGACCUGCACGAAUGGCGUAAUGAUGGCCAGGCUGUCUCCACCCGAGACUCAGUGAAAUUGAACUCGCUGUGAAGAUGCAGUGUACCCGCGGCAAGACGGAAAGACCCCGUGAACCUUUACUAUAGCUUGACACUGAACAUUGAGCCUUGAUGUGUAGGAUAGGUGGGAGGCUUUGAAGUGUGGACGCCAGUCUGCAUGGAGCCGACCUUGAAAUACCACCCUUUAAUGUUUGAUGUUCUAACGUUGGCCCGUAAUCCGGGUUGCGGACAGUGUCUGGUGGGUAGUUUGACUGGGGCGGUCUCCUCCUAAAGAGUAACGGAGGAGCACGAAGGUUGGCUAAUCCUGGUCGGAUAUCAGGAGGUUAGUGCAAUGGCAUAAGCCAGCUUGACUGCGAGCGUGACGGCGCGAGCAGGUGCGAAAGCAGGUCAUAGUGAUCCGGUGGUUCUGAAUGGAAGGGCCAUCGCUCAACGGAUAAAAGGUACUCCGGGGAUAACAGGCUGAUACCGCCCAAGAGUUCAUAUCGACGGCGGUGUUUGGCACCUCGAUGUCGGCUCAUCACAUCCUGGGGCUGAAGUAGGUCCCAAGGGUAUGGCUGUUCGCCAUUUAAAGUGGUACGCGAGCUGGGUUUAGAACGUCGUGAGACAGUUCGGUCCCUAUCUGCCGUGGGCGCUGGAGAACUGAGGGGGGCUGCUCCUAGUACGAGAGGACCGGAGUGGACGCAUCACUGGUGUUCGGGUUGUCAUGCCAAUGGCACUGCCCGGUAGCUAAAUGCGGAAGAGAUAAGUGCUGAAAGCAUCUAAGCACGAAACUUGCCCCGAGAUGAGUUCUCCCUGACUCCUUGAGAGUCCUGAAGGAACGUUGAAGACGACGACGUUGAUAGGCCGGGUGUGUAAGCGCAGCGAUGCGUUGAGCUAACCGGUACUAAUGAACCGUGAGGCUUAACCUU
rnacentral:rRNA from 1 species